rnacentral:rRNA from 1 species
UACGUAGGGGGCAAGCGUUGUCCGGAUUUAUUGGGCGUAAAGAGCGUGUAGGCGGCCAGACAAGUCUGCUGUGAAAACUCGAGGCUCAACCUCGAGCUGUCGGUGGAAACUGUCUGGCUAGAGUCCGGAAGAGGAGAGUGGAAUUCCUGGUGUAGCGGUGAAAUGCGCAGAUAUCAGAAAGAACACCUAUGGCGAAGGCAGCUCUCUGGGACGGUACUGACGCUGAGACGCGAAAGCGUGGGGAGCGAACAGG